UUACCAGGCCUUGACAUGCAGAGAACUUUCCAGAGAUGGAUUGGUGCCUUCGGAACUCUGACACAGGUGCUGCAUGGCUGUCGUCGGCUCGUGUCGUGAGAUGUUGGGUUAAGUCCCGUAACGAGCGCAACCCUUGUCCUUAGUUACCAGCACGUUAUGGUGGGCACUCUAAGGAGACUGCCGGUGACAAACCGGAGGAAGGUGGGGAUGACGUCAAGUCAUCAUGGCCCUUACGGCCUGGGCUACACACGUGCUACAAUGGUCGGUACAAAGGGUUGCCAAGCCGCGAGGUGGAGCUAAUCCCAUAAAACCGAUCGUAGUCCGGAUCGCAGUCUGCAACUCGACUGCGUGAAGUCGGAAUCGCUAGUAAUCGUGAAUCAGAAUGUCACGGUGAAUACGUUCCCGGGCCUU
rnacentral:rRNA from 1 species